CGAUUAAAUCUUCAACUACGCG
rnacentral:snRNA from 1 species